UCCUGGAAGCUAAACAAUCAGAUAAAAGGAA
rnacentral:piRNA from 1 species